rnacentral:lncRNA from 1 species
AGCACUCAGGAACAGGAUCAUGUGAAACAAUACCUUGCCCAGGUCACGGCUACGUCAGGUAUCAGCACUUUGCUUAUUUCCGGCCGAAGCCCAGGAGACCAUAUUUCAGGCCUCCUUAUUCUCUGUCAACUGGACAUGGUCCACGGAGAACUCCAAAGACCAGAGGAUGAUGGAGCCUCUAGGAGGGAGGGCCCAGGGCUUCUGAAUCACCUUGUGGAAGGAUGCUGCUGAGUAUCUCAUCAGACUGUGCUAUGACUGGGGGAUGAAUCUUCAUUAGGUGACACUACUGAGAAGUGGGGUUGUUUGCUACAGUGGUAAGACUGUCUGACCAAUACAAGGUGGCUGCAAAAUCUGACUUUCCAAGGGCCCACAUACCUGCCUUAUUUUGUGCCUCAGCCUUCUCAUUUAUAAAAUGGGAUACGACAGUACUUACAUCAUAGGGAUGUGAUGAGGUAAAGUAUUUAAAGUCGGACCUGAUACUUGGUGAAAUGUUAGCCACUACGCCUAUUACUGGUGCUAUGAGACUAUUACUACUACUACUUCUAUAACCUCUACUACAGCACCCUCCCUAUUAUAGCUGUGGGGCUUUCUUUUGAGACUGGAAAGCCCAUGAGAUAAGUGGUUGCUUGUUUUCCAUGAAAGCCAGCCGUGGAUCUCCUGCUUCCCAGAGAGGGGAAAAUAGAUUUCUUGAUCAGAAUCUAUGUGAAGUAUGAGCUAAGCCAACCGAACAAAUCUUAGGUCCUGCCACCCAGGGAUUAUGUGCAAGGAAAUGGCACAUUGUCUAUUGUUAUGGAAGCCGAACACCACCUGAUGAUUCAUAAUGGAUUUAGAGGGGAGAGAUCAUUUUGGGUUAUGAGAAAAUUGUUGAAGAUUUUAUGGAGAAAAUCAAUUAGUUGCUUAGUCUAUCCAGUUCAUUUGACGGGGGUGAAAAGAACAAAUGCUGAACAUGGCCCCAGAAAUUUAAUAGCAACCAUGGAGUAAACUUGACUUUUCAAUAGGGGUUUGCCUUAUGAAGCUUAGACAAUGGGAUUGUAAACAAAGGCAAUAUCGCAUCUGUAGUGACAUCCAGGCCACUCAACCAGGAUAAUUUGAAUUGUUCUAACUGGCUAACAGAUGAAGGUUGAUGUCUGGGUCUUAGGAUGGUGCAGUUGAGAAGUUGAGUGUGGUAAUUAAGAAUGUGGUCUUUGAAGUCAAAUUUCCUGGGUUCAAAUUCAGUGGCUUACCAGUUGCAUGACCUUGGGCAAGUUACUUAUUCUGUCUGGGCUUUGAUUUCUUCAUUUGUAUUAUAAACUGGAAGUAAUCAUAUACUUCUCUUACAAGGUUGUUGUGAGGAUUAAAUGAGUUAACACAUUUCAGUGGCUUAGAAUAGAAUGAUAUUGUGAAAGGAAAUUAAAUCUUGGGACCCCAAACUCAUUAAGCCAAAGGGAAAAGUGGAGCUAGGGACGGGGUCACCCAAACCUGCCUCCCCGUUUUUCAUUCCUAAAUAAGAUGGCUACAAGAUGAAAAGCUACAUGUCUCCCCCAUAUUUUGCCUACAAGUAAAUUCCUGGUGAGCUGCAAGAUCUUUACUCUAAGGUGUUUCUGUUAAAAUUUCACCAUGGCAAUGCAAAUUGAUAGCUUAUCUUUACAGGUGCAGCCAUCCUCCUGCCCAACUGACCCAAAUGCCUAUCUGAUUAUUUCCCUGCCCCAUUUUGUCUAUGUUAUCUUAUGUAAAAUGCAGAUUGCCUGCCUUUUUCCUCUGCCUUAUUUGUCUAUGUCAUCUUACAUAAAAAAAAUGCAGAUUUAUUGAGCCAGACAAAGGCACGAAUGACUAAUUUUUCCUAGCCCCCUCUUACGUGAAAAUUGUGUACUUUGCAAUAUCCUGCCCUUUCCCCUUUAAAUUUGGAGCCCUCAGAAUCAUCUUUGGAGAAAGGCAUAGACCUGUCUCCCAGGCUCGCAUUCUUACCUUUGGCAAAUAAACUUCCUAA